rnacentral:rRNA from 1 species
AUACGGAGGGUGCAAGCGUUACUCGGAAUCACUGGGCGUAAAGCGCGCGCAGGCGGCUAUUUAAGUUGGAUGUGAAAGCCUACGGCUCAACCGUAGAACUGCAUCCAAAACUAUUUAGCUAGAGGGUGGGAGAGGAAGAUGGAAUUAGUUGUGUAGGGGUAAAAUCCGUAGAGAUAACUAGGAAUACCAAAAGCGAAGGCAAUCUUCUGGAACACUACUGACGCUGAGGCGCGAAAGCGUGGGGAGCAAACGGGAUUAGAAACCCGAGUAGUCC